CCCUUAGAUGUCCUGGGCCGCACGCGCGCUACACUGAGUGUCUGAGAUACGAGUCUGCCUAGCCGGCGAGGUCUAGGUAAUCGCUGAAAGACACAUCAUGCUUGGGAUAGAUUAUUGCAGAUAUUAAUCUUGAACGAGGAAUUCCUAGUAAGCGCAAGUCAACAGCUUGCGUUGAUUACGUCCCUACCCUUUGUACACACCGCCCGUCGCUACUACUGAUUGGAUGUUAAAGCGAGGUUCUCGAACUGCUAGCGACUUAGCUUCGGUGAGGUCGCCGUGUGGGAAGUGAACCUAGCUUUGGUGUCUAGAGGAAGUAAAAGUCGUAUCA
rnacentral:rRNA from 1 species